rnacentral:rRNA from 1 species
AUCGAGCGGAUGAGUGGGAGCUUGCUCCAUGAUUCAGCGGCGGACGGGUGAGUAAUGCCUAGGAAUCUGCCUGGUAGUGGGGGACAACGUUUCGAAAGGAACGCUAAUACCGCAUACGUCCUACGGGAGAAAGUGGGGGAUCUUCGGACCUCACGCUAUCAGAUGAGCCUAGGUCGGAUUAGCUAGUUGGUGAGGUAAAGGCUCACCAAGGCGACGAUCCGUAACUGGUCUGAGAGGAUGAUCAGUCACACUGGAACUGAGACACGGUCCAGACUCCUACGGGAGGCAGCAGUGGGGAAUAUUGGACAAUGGGCGAAAGCCUGAUCCAGCCAUGCCGCGUGUGUGAAGAAGGUCUUCGGAUUGUAAAGCACUUUAAGUUGGGAGGAAGGGCAGUAAGUUAAUACCUUGCUGUUUUGACGUUACCAACAGAAUAAGCACCGGCUAACUUCGUGCCAGCAGCCGCGGUAAUACGAAGGGUGCAAGCGUUAAUCGGAAUUACUGGGCGUAAAGCGCGCGUAGGUGGUUCGUUAAGUUGGAUGUGAAAGCCCCGGGCUCAACCUGGGAACUGCAUCCAAAACUGGCGAGCUAGAGUAUGGCAGAGGGUGGUGGAAUUUCCUGUGUAGCGGUGAAAUGCGUAGAUAUAGGAAGGAACACCAGUGGCGAAGGCGACCACCUGGGCUAAUACUGACACUGAGGUGCGAA